UUUUCUUUAGUAUAAAAAUUAUUUUUCACUUCCAAUGAAAAGAUCUAUAAAAUUAGAAGAAAAA
rnacentral:tRNA from 1 species